rnacentral:tRNA from 2 species
GGACCUUUAGCUCAGUUGGUCAGAGCGGUCGGCUCAUAACCGAUUGGUCGUAGGUUCGAGUCCUACAGGGUCCA